AUCACAUUUAUGUGCAUAAGAACACUGAACAUUUGCUUUUAAAGUCAGUGCUAAAGAGCUGGUGUCCUUCGCCAUACAAGACUUUCGUUUGCUCUGGAAUCAGACUCAAAGGGAUUUUGGUGUCCACAUGGUUAAAGCAAUAAACAAACAAGCUGGAGAAUGAGUAGUGGGAAGAUAGAUUCUUCCCGUGCCUGAUAUUUUCUGCUUUUAGAAGCCUGCUACCCACUCUGCGAACAUGGAGCACCCUGUUUCUGUUAUGACUAUUGUGCUAUACGAAGGCUCAAUGCAGGGGAAAUUACAAGAGCUGGAAACUGGGAAACAGACCGAGAAGAGGAAGGCAGAAUUUGAAAAAUGUGAGAUUGUGAAUUAAGACAUUCAAAUAACAAGCCACGUAGCCUUUUCUGUAGGGCUGAUAAUCUCCAUAUGAAAUUCAAAGCUAAGAAUUGAAUAUGUCACUUCUAUUUGGCGUAUAUUUAACAGUUAGUUUUAAAAGCCCUUUUCUUCAUGUUCAGCAUGAAAUCCAGGCUUUCGAGUUCUCACAUCAAUGGCAUCUUCAUUUAGCCUUUCAAGAUAUGAAAGCUAUAUGAUGACUUCUGUAACUACUCACAGCAGCUCAAAUUAAUUGAUCCCUUUUGCUGAGCAGAUAUCAAACAGUGCCUUCAAAGCUGAUAUAGAGAACAUAUUUGCCACUGUGUAUAGCUGGGUAUAUUUUAUAGGUUUAUUUCUUUGUGUUUUUAAAGAAAGGAAUGGCCUUGUUUUGGCACUGAAGUCUAUUUCAUACAGUUACAUAUCGACUUUUAAAAUUCUCCCUUUUUUAAAAAAAGCUCUUAGAUGUGUGGGAUCGGGAUUGGUGACAACACUCUGUUUACUAUCUUAUUUUACAGAAAUAAGACAGAAAUAUAGAAACCAGGUUACAAUUCAAUUGAAGAGUAUUUUUAAUAAUUAUAAUAUUUUUAAAAAUCAAAAUACAAACUCAUGCUAAAUUAUUCCAGAGGGUUUUCCAUUCAAGUAUGAAAUGUAUUCGUGAAUCUUUUUUCAUGUUUCCAGUACCUUAUUACCUUUUGUAAUAAAGAUACCUUGCACAUUAGCAUACAAUGCCAGAUUGCAUUUUCCCAUUCCCUUACAGAUGGAACUUCCUGUGAUGGGUAAACUGCAGUUCCCAGGAUUCCUUGAGGGAAGUCAUGUUCUUUAAAUGAAUGGUGAGGAUGGGAGCCUUGUUAGCAAGCUCUCAUUGGGCAUGAAUUUCUUCACCACGUUAGAGCCCUUUGGAUUGAAUGACGGUAUUCAAAAAUAACUGGGGAGGUAUCAAAAUAGGCUUGGUAAGUGAGAAACAGAAGAUUCUGCACCAUACAAGACUGGGGCCAUUUUACCACACAGAUACAUGCAUAUCAGGUAGCUAGAAAGUGGUCAUUAUGUCUGAAGCUCUGUUGUACACAUUUACAGUCACAUUCAGUCACUAGCCAGAGUGAGGUGGCUGCUUCAGGCCAGGGCCAUCUUAAGCAUAUCCGGCACCAUGGUGCAAAGCUCCCUCCAGCACCCCCCGUUUCCCAGAGUUUUUUAGGGAGGAUGGCACUGCCAGCGGGGCUGGAGGAGGCGGGCAGUGGCUGGAGGGUGGCUCCUCUGGUGGGGAAGAGGCAGAGGCUGGACAUGGCACCUCCCGGCUCAUCUGGGCGCUUUAUGCCAUGGUGGGCCAUGGCAGAUGGAGGUCCUGGGCACAGCGCUGCUUUGGCAUGGCAUGGCAGAGGCAGAUGAGGGUAGCAAGCUGAUGCCAGGAGGCGCCACAUCCAGCCUCUGCUUCUUCUCUGGCGCCCCCGCGCCACUAGCUUCUAUGGGUAAGACGCCCCUGCCUCAGGCAGCAGAUUCUGAGGGGCUGUGAGUAGAAAGAGCUGGGUGUGCACUUCCUAAGCUAUCCUGCUGCCCUCAAAUGCUGUGUAGGCUGCUCCAAUAAGUGUUGGAAGUGUAAAGAGAAAGAGGGCAUGUUUUAUCACAUGUGGCGGAAUUGUAAUCAAAAGCUAUUGGGAAAUGAUUUACAAUGAAAUGAAAUGAAAAAUGUUUAAGAUCACUUUUGUUAAAAGAGCAGAAGCUGUUUUGCUGAGCAUUACAGUGGUACCUCGGGUUAAGAAAUUAAUUCAUUCCAGAGGUCCGUUCUUAACCUGAAACUGUUCUUAACCUUAGGUACCACUUUAGCUAAUGGGGCCUCCUGCUGCCACCAUGCGAUUUCUGUUCUCAUCCUGAAGCAAAGUUCUUAACCCAAGGUAUUAUUUCUGGGUUAGCGGAGUCUGUAACCUGAAGCAUCUGUAACCUGAAGCAUCUGUAACCUGAGGUACCACUGUACAGGCCAAGACCUGCCAAAAGCAUGGAAGAAACUAUUCAUGUAUGCUACAACAUGGGCUAGGAUAUUACUAGCCCCAAAAUGGAAAGAUGACAAGUUACCAACGAAAGAAGAAUGGCAAGGAAAACUGAUGGAAUACAUUAUGCUGAAAUGGUGAAGCUCACUGGAAAACUUAGAGACAAAGACAAUAGAGAUUUCAAAAAAAUUAUCGGGAAUCGUUUAUGAUGUAUCUACAGAAACACUAUAAAGAAGUAGAUUCACUAGCAGAGUUUGACUAAACACUUACAAUUAAGAAAACAAAUAUAAAAGUUAAGUAAUAUGGAAAAUAUGAAUGAUAUGAGUGUAAUAAGAUAUAGUUAAAAGACUACAAAUUAAGGUAGAAUAAAAUAAGCAGAAGAAACAAUAUUUAAAGAACCAGAAGAGGAAGUUGAGGGAAGUCAGGGGAGAUUGGGAUUUGCAUAUGUUUUCUCUUUUCUUGUGAUAAUGAUGAUUGUGUUGAAUACAAAAAUGUAAAACUUAAUAAAAAUUAUUAAAAAACAAAACACAAAUGCUGUGUAGGCCACAGUUCUGUUACCAGUGCUGACUGAAGUAAGAUUCAGUUGGCAGGCUGCUUGGGUUUUGUACCUGGAACAGGGGAGGGGCCAUCUUGUUCUGCACUUCAGGAAGCAAAAAUUCUCAGGCCAGCCUUGAUACACGGCAUAAAGCUCCUCAACCCCUGAACAAUUCUGUUUAUUUUUCAGCAAAAGCAACAGCU
rnacentral:lncRNA from 1 species